UACGGAGGGGGCAAGCGUUGUUCGGAAUUAUUGGGCGUAAAGCGCGUGUAGGCGGCUCUCUAAGUCUGAUGUGAAAGCCCGGGGCUUAACUCCGGAAGUGCAUUGGAUACUGGAGGGCUAGAGGACGAGAGAGGGAAGUGGAAUUCCUGGUGUAGGGGUGAAAUCCGUAGAUAUCAGGAGGAACAUCUGUGGCGAAGGCGGCUUCCUGGCUCGUUUCUGACGCUGAGACGCGAAAGCGUGGGGAGCAAACAGG
rnacentral:rRNA from 1 species